GCAAAGUAGCAGAACUGUGCAGAUGACAGGGAACUCAACAAGUAGGGCUUGUUUAUUAAAGGUCGGAUGUCUCACAGAAGCUUUGAUCGAAUGGACUUGCGAUACAGUCUUUGAAUCAGCCACAUCCUAAGACAUCCUUACUCUGGCCUCCCAAUUAGUAAGAAUUUAUAGCUUUCACCUCCAUCCUGCUAGAAUCGAAUUUAUGGUCCAUCCCUGAAAAUUCCCGCUCUUUGCCUCCUGCCUUUGUUUCUCUUCUUACUAUAAAAAAAAACCUUGGGAGUCUCACAUUCACAGCUGGAUACUUUGAGACGAGAAUCCUGUCCAAUCAAUCAAUUAAGUUCUCCAGUAAAUAAAAUUUUCAAACUCUCUAA